rnacentral:rRNA from 1 species
GACGAAGGGGGCUAGCGUUGUUCGGAAUUACUGGGCGUAAAGCGCGUGUAGGCGGUUAUCCAAGUCAGGUGUGAAAGCCUUGAGCUCAACUCAAGAAAUGCACUUGGUACUGGGUGACUAGAGGACCGGAGAGGAUAGUGGAAUUCCCAGUGUAGUGGUGAAAUACGUAGAGAUUGGGAAGAACACCAGUGGCGAAGGCGGCUAUCUGGACGGUUCUGACGCUAAGACGCGAAAGCG